rnacentral:tRNA from 1 species
GAUGCUUUGGCAGAAUGAUAUGCACUUGAUUUAGGUUCAAGCUAUAAUAGAUAAUUAGGCAUCU